GACGAACGCUGGCGGCGUGCUUAACACAUGCAAGUCGAACGGAAAGGCCCUGCUUUUGUGGGGUGCUCGAGUGGCGAACGGGUGAGUAACACGUGAGUAACCUGCCCUUGACUUUGGGAUAACUUCAGGAAACUGGGGCUAAUACCGGAUAGGAGCUCCUGCUGCAUGGUGGGGGUUGGAAAGUUUCGGCGGUUGGGGAUGGACUCGCGGCUUAUCAGCUUGUUGGUGGGGUAGUGGCUUACCAAGGCUUUGACGGGUAGCCGGCCUGAGAGGGUGACCGGCCACAGUGGGACUGAGAUACGGCCCAGACUCCUACGGGAGGCAGCAGUGGAGAAUAUUGCACAAUGGGCGGAAGCCUGAUGCAGCAACGCCGCGUGCGGGAUGACGGCCUUCGGGUUGUAAACCGCUUUCGCCUGUGACGAAGCGUGAGUGACGGUAAUGGGUAAAGAAGCACCGGCUAACUACGC
rnacentral:rRNA from 1 species